UCUCGGAUCCGGUCCACCACUCCUGCGACUUCCCACGUUGGUUCUAACUGUUCGUGAACUGCUUGCACGAGUAACAAGCUGUCAGAAUGUACUUGGAGGGUUCUAUGAGCUUCGGGGGAAAGGAAAGCUAGGGUUUCCAAAAGGGCAAGGGCUUCAGCGUGUUCGGCUGAGGAGACAUCGACGACUUUGGAGAAUCCAGCAACCAGGCGGCCACAAGAGUCGCGACAGAGACAGGCGAUGGCUCCUCUAUUCGCGACCUUUGUUCUUGCGUUCCUGUUCGUGGCCUCUCCUUUGAGCUCACCCUGAAGCGAGGUUGUUCGAUUGGAUGAGGGUUCUGCGUCUCUGAUCUCCUCCUGUUCGUGCAUAUAGCCGUCCGUCCGGGAAGUAGAGAAGUCUCUUUCGUCUCCGUACAAGGCCUCGCCUCUCGCGCCCCUGUUCGCGGCCUCGCCUCGUCGAUCCACGCGAUGAGCACCUCUGUUCACUGCCUCUCCACGUGCACCCCUGUUCACGGCCGCACCUCUCUGUUCCCCGCAGUGUAUAGUCGUUCUCUCCACUUGGGUCUCCUCCAUAUCUUAUGCAGAUCCCUCAUUGCCGGCAUCACAUACAUGAGACGCGCCCCUGUUUUCCUCCAGAUCUGGCUGAAAAUGGCGAGCCCCCGCUGACAAGUAAAGAUUUUUGAAGAAAGCUUCCGUCAUGUCCUUCAAUGGCUGCUCCUCUUUCACCCAUUCUCUGCUGCGUUUUGCAGCAAGGUAAAUGCACAUCCCUUGGAUUCCAAAUCCAUUAAGGCGCAUUGGCUGAGGAACUCCCUGAAGGCUGUUAACCAGAAGCGAUUGAAUAGGAGUUUCUGGCACUAUCUCAGUUUCUUCUAGGAUUGCCUCAUGUUUUCCAUAGAAAAUCUUACCAUAAGGGCUGAGUUCAUUUACAUCCGCUCGGAGCCAAUUUCCAAAUUUUCCCGAU